rnacentral:rRNA from 1 species
AUUGAACGCUGGCGGCAUGCCUUACACAUGCAAGUCGAACGGCAGCACGGGAGCAGUUUUCGCUGCGGGUUGCCGACGGGUGGGUAAUUCAUGGGUACGUGCCCAGCUGUGGUUGCUAACCCGGCAACAGAGGGAAUCAUACGCUAUUACCGCUUCGGGUCUACGCGGGGGAUCACAAGAUCUUCGGCUCUUGCACCGUCGGAUGAGCGAUUAGCUAGUUGGUGGGGUAAAGGCCUACCAAGGCGACGAUCCGUAGCUGGUCUGAGAGGAUGACCAGCCACACUGGGACUGAGACACGGUCCAGACUCCUACGGGAGGCAGCAGUGGGGAAUUUUGGACAAUGGGCGCAAGCCUGAUCCAGCCAUGCCGCGUGCGGGAAGAAGGCCUUCGGGUUGUAAACCGCUUUUGUCAGGGAAGAAACGCUCCAGGCUAAUACCACGGAGUAAUGACGGUACCUAAAGAAUAAGCACCGGCUAACUACGUG